rnacentral:lncRNA from 1 species
CUCUCCCGCUGAAGCGGGUUCCAAGGCCACCGUGAGGGGGACCAUCCAUCCAGGAGAGUACUGGGCAGGCUGCAAAUGUCUGUGUUAAAACAGCUCUGCUGGGCUAAGACAGGACAGAAGCAGACAGCAGGUGGAUGAGACACAAUUUCCUAUCCAGCAGAACCUGCAGCAAGCUCCACAGCACCCUCCAUGGGCUCAGUCUUGCUCCCGGGAAGAUGGUUAAUUCCAUCAGCUCCUUCUGGCCGGCAGCAGGAAGAGUGGCCCUGUGUGUGCCAGGCCCUGCAGUCUCUCCUCUCAGCUGGUGUCUCCAGUGAGGGACCUGAGUCAUCGCACACAUGAGCCUGUGCUCAGCCUGCACAUCUCCCGCCUCCCACCAGCUGCUCCUCAACUGCCAGGGCCAGACUGUGGCAAAAUCUCACUCCUCUGCCGAUGCUGGGGUUUCCCUCGUGUCUGGGAGGUGGUGUGCUUGGUGGCCUGAGCACUGCAGUGAAUCCAUGUUUCCCUCCCAGCACCCUGUUCUGUCCUCCAACUUGGCCGACAGCUCUGGCCAGGGACGCAGCCCAGCUGGUGCCCACCCCGCACUCUGUCCAUUUCAUAAGAGCCCUUGGUUUCCUCACUUCCCUCAGAUUUUGCCAAGAGAAUGGUCCUGGUGUGGCCCAGAAAGGCCAGCGGGGUGCAGCCUGGGACUGAAAGCAGAGGCGGCUCUGGUGGGGAAAAAGUAGCUCUCCCAGCCUAGCCCUACUGGUGGGCGGCACCUCCUGGCUCCAGGCCAUCUUUUGUCCCAGUCCUAGGUAAGAAAAACACAAACAAAAGCCAGUCCCAUGGCACUCGAGAAGCAGGAGGCCGUUCCCUGACAGCAACAUGCUGUGUGCACAGACACACGGGUGGACAGGAGGCAGAGCUCGGGGUUGCUGCGGAGCGGGCAGGACACUGGAGCGGCAGGCAGUGCGGACCCGCCGGGCAGCCGUGCACGGUUGUCGUCCUCAGCGGCAGGAGCCAGUUUGUUGCUCAGGGCCUUGUCUUUUUACAAAGAGCCCCAGGCCCCGGGGGCUUCUCUGGGUGCCUCUUUGCUGCCAUGUCUGCACGCGGGCGGAGAGCAGACCAGGCUACCGACCCUCUCGCUUUGCUGUCUUCACGUGGAAAAGCCAGUGUCGUAGCCCCAAAGGAGGGGAAACUGUAUUGAUUUGGGGAGCCUCUAUGUUGAUUUCAAAACAGAUUGUCUCCUGUGUUCUCAAAGACUGGAAGCGAACCCCACAACCGCCUUAGGCCACAAAAGCUUUAUCCUUUCUAAUUAGCAUCCCUGUGACCUGCUCUGCGCCCUGCAGAUAUUUUGCUCAGCCAGCCAGAAGGAGGGAGGCCAGACACCAGCCCCCACAGACCUGCGGCUGCGACCCCCUGCCUGGGGACGAUGGGGUCGGGGUCCAGUAGCUGCCCCAGAAACAAGUGGGGCUGCAGGAGGCUGAUGGUGAGCUUGGAGGUUGGCAGAAUUCUAAAUCUGGGCACUGCAGGGUCCCCACAGGUCACGACCCUACUCUGCUCCACCCAGGCUCCGGAGGACCUGAGCAGGAACCUCUGCAGGGGGGGCCCGGGGCUCCCUGUCCUCUCAGCAGCCGGCAGUGCUCCCUGACAGCCCGGGCCUCUCCCUCCAGUAGUUCGGUAGUUUGCUGUCACCAACAUGGCUGGGCCUGGGACAGGCUCCUCCUCUCCCUCCAGAAGCCAGGCAGUCCCUCCUGCCUCAGUUUCUCAGACUAGGCCGCCUCUCCCAUCGCGAGACACUGAAGACCCUCAGCUGUUUCCAUCUGCCCAGUCUGACUGCUGGAUCGCCCUCUGUGUGCGUUGGUUUGCUGUGUUCUUGCUACUCGCCCUUGGAUAAGAUUUCUUCUCUACUCAUGAAGCUGCGUGUCCUGGAGGGCAGGGCCGCACCUCACAUGCAUGUUGCCCACAUAGCUCAGCAACAGAUGCUCUCACGCUUGUUAAAAGUAAAACCGGGCCAGGCGCAGUGGCUCACGCCUGUAAUCCCAGCACUUUGGGAGGCCGAGGUGGGUGGAUCACCUGAAGUCAGGAGUUUGAGACUAGCCUGACCAACAUGGAGAAAUCCCGUCUCUACUAAAAAUACAAAAAAUUAGCUGGGCGUGGUGGCACAUGCCUGUAAUCCCAGCUACUCGGAGGCAGGAGAAUUGCUUGAACCCAGGAGGCGGAGGUUGCGGUGAGCCAAGAUCACGCCAUAGCAAUUGCACUCCGGCCUGGGCAACAAGAGCAAAACUCUGUCAAAAAG